AUUGAACGCUGGCGGCAGGCCUAACACAUGCAAGUCGAGCGGAUGAAGGGAGCUUGCUCCUGGAUUCAGCGGCGGACGGGUGAGUAAUGCCUAGGAAUCUGCCUGGUAGUGGGGGAUAACGUCCGGAAACGGGCGCUAAUACCGCAUACGUCCUGAGGGAGAAAGUGGGGGAUCUUCGGACCUCACGCUAUCAGAUGAGCCUAGGUCGGAUUAGCUAGUUGGUGGGGUAAAGGCCUACCAAGGCGACGAUCCGUAACUGGUCUGAGAGGAUGAUCAGUCACCCCGGAACUGAGACACCGGUCCGAAUCCUACGGGAGGGAGCCGUGGGGAAUAUUGGACCAUGGGCGAAAGCCUGAUCCAGCCAUGCCGCGUGUGUGAAGAAGGUCUUCGGAUUGUAAAGCACUUUAAGUUGGGAGGAAGGGCAGUAAGUUAAUACCUUGCUGUUUUGACGUUACCAACAGAAUAAGCACCGGCUAACUUCGUG
rnacentral:rRNA from 1 species